GAGAUGGACGGUGUUCAUCUCAGGCUGGGAGACAUGGUCUUUUGCACUGUCACCGCUUUUAUGAAGGACGCUCCUGAUCAGCAGUCAUUACCUGAAGAAAGCAGCGGAUUCUAUGCAGGGAUUAAGUUUUUACCAGAAUCAUUACAAAUUGCAGAGGACGGCAAAGAGCAUGUUCUGACCAUUCUGAGUACUGUCCCUAUUACCUGUUCGGGGAAUGAUGAUUCCUGCAAAAUUACUUUACAGCUAAGUACUGAGG